rnacentral:lncRNA from 1 species
CACCGAAUCCUCAUCCUGUAGGCAUAAUCAGCUGUACACCAAGACAUGUCAGUUUGCAGGGGAGGAGAUUUUAACCUGGAAGACUUAAUACACAGAGAUCCUGACAAAGGAGCUGAGCCCCAUAAAAAUGUAUGGGAGCCAGGUGCCGUGGUGGACACCUGUAAUCUCAGCAGGCUUCCUAGUAAGUUCGGAUAAAAAGGGACCACAAGAGGAUUUUGGAAGGCAGAAGAGAAAAGCAGGGCCUAGUUCCCUUCUGUUUGCUUGCUGAUCUCCUGAGGCAACAGGGUCCCAACUGAUAACGGCAUUAUUCUAGCCACGGUCAAGAUGAGAAACUGUGGCUCAGAUUAAGAAGCAUGCCCAAGGCUACUGCUCCAGAGAGACCCCUGCAGAGGGACCCCCGCAAAACUAAAGCCCAUGCCAUACUCCAUAUCCACACUAAGAACCGGCAGCAACUGGUGACCUAUGACAGAUUACUGUUACAAAGGCAGUUCCGGCGUUUGAUGUCCUGAAGGCAACCUCUUGUUAGUCAGCAGGGGGAGCUCUGUCCCUAAGGGGCCCCCAACCUUCUGCUGACCCAGCAGGAAAGACAUGUGGACUGAGAGGUAUAAUGGAUGUUGGGAAAUGGGAAGAAAAUGUUCAAAUGAGAAGGAGGACAAGGGAGGCGGGAGGGAGAAAGGAAGAAAAGGAUAGGGGCCAGGGAUUUAGUUCAGUGGUUUCGCCCCCUGCUGCACAAGCACAAGGACGUGAGUUCUAUCCCUGGUACCAAAAAAAAAAAAAAGGAAGGAAAGGACAAGAAAAAAAAAGAACAAGGAAAAAAUGGAAACAACGUUUUUGUGAAUAGUGAGAGGAAGAAGAGUUGAAGGGAGCACAAAGGAAAGGGAAAAGAAGAAGCGAGAUAUAUCAUGUACAGGUACAAAUUCCCUAUGAUGAAUAUUACCAUUAUACAUGCCUAAAAUGUACCAAUCAAUAAAUGUUCGGCUUGAAAAAAGAAC